rnacentral:rRNA from 1 species
AGAAAAGUCUCUAUCGAGGUUAAAGGUACCCGUACCGCAAACCGACACAGGUGGGUGAGGAGAGUAUCCUAAGGCCCGCGAGAGAACUGUUGUUAAGGAACUCGGCAAAAUGACCCCGUAACUUAGGGAUAAGGGGUGCCACCAUCCGGUGGCCGCAGAGAAUAGGCCCAAGCGACUGUUUACCAAAAACAUAGGUUUCUGCUAAGUCGCAAGACGAUGUAUAGGAGCUGACGCCUGCCCGGUGCUGGAAGGUUAAGGGGAUCUGUUAGAGCAAUCGAAGCAGUGAACUUAAGCCCCAGUAAACGGCGGCCGUAACUAUAACGGUCCUAAGGUAGCGAAAUUCCUUGUCGGGUAAGUUCCGACCCGCACGAAAGGCGUAACGAUUUGGGCACUGUCUCAACAACAGACUCGGUGAAAUUGUAAUUCCGGUGAAGAUGCCGGAUACCUGCGACAGGACGGAAAGACCCCAUGG